UUCACGGUAUUGCAAUGAGAACAAUUUAAAACCCUUAGCGAGAAUCAAGUGGAGGACAAGUCUGGUGCCAGCACCCGCGGUAAUUCCAGCUCCACUAGCGUAUAUUAAAGUUGUUGCAGUUAAAAAGCUCGUAGUUGAACCUCUGUCUGGGGCUAGUUUUGGCUUUGGUCAGGCUAGUUCUAGGCAUCCGCCUACAAGACUUAGAGGGCAUUCAGUUGUUCACUAGGAGGAGUAGGCAUUUUACUUUGAAAAAAUUAGAGUGUUUAAGGCAGGCAAUCGCCCGCAUAUAUUAGCAUGGAAUAAUAGAAUAGGACACUUUUCCAUUUCGUUGGUUAUUGGAAUCGUGUAAUGAUUAAUAGGGACAGUUGUGGGCAUUUGUAUUUAAUUGUCAGAGGUGAAAUUCUUGGAUUUAUUAAAGACAAACUAACGCGAAAGCAUUUGCCAAGGAUGUUUUCAUUAAUCAAGAACGAAAGUUAGGGGAUCAAAGACGAUCAGAUACCGUCCUAGUCUUAACUAUAAACUAUUCCGACUCAAUGUCUGACUGGCUUAUAUAACCAGUUGAGCGUUGUAUGAGAAAUCAAAGUCUUUAGGUUCUGGGGGGAGUAUGGUUGCAAAGCUGAAACUUAAAGGAAUUGACGGAAGAGCACAACCAGGAGUGGAUUCUGCGGCUUAAUUUGACUCAACACGGGGAAACUUACCAGGUUAAAACAAUAGUGGGAUUGACAGUUUGAGAGCGCUUUCUUGAUUGGUUGGGUGGUGGUGCAUGGCCGUUCUUAGUUGGUGGAGUGAUUUGUCUGCUUAAUUGCGUUAACGAACGAGACCUUAACCUGCUUACUAGACUGGCGAUCAUCAAUCGUUAGCUCUUCUUAGAGGGACUUUGGUUGUUUUAACUCCAAGGAAGUUUGAGGCAAUAACAGGUCUGUGAUGCCCUUAGAUAUCCUGGGCCGCACGCGUCAUACAAUGACUAGUUCAGAAAGUUCUCUCCUGACCCGAAAGGGGAUGGGUAAUCUUGAUAAUACUAGUCGUGUUAGGGAUCGAUCUUUGCAAUUAUAGAUCUUGAACGAGGAAUUCCUAGUAAGUGCGGUUCAUCAGACCGUACUGAUUACGUCCCUGCUCUUUGUACACACCGCCCGUCGCUUCUACCGAGUGGGUGGUCCGGUGAGAUAAUUGAACUUCGCAGGUAACUGAGAGGAAAGAUUAUCAAACCUAUCCACCU
rnacentral:rRNA from 1 species